rnacentral:rRNA from 1 species
AUUGAACGCUGGCGUCAGGCCUAACACAUGCAAGUCGAGCGGAGCGGCGGACGGGUGAGUAAUGCCUAGGAAUCUGCCUGGUAGUGGGGGAUAACGUUCGGCAACGGGCGCUAAUACCGCAUCCGAUCAGAUGAGCAUAGGUCGGAUUAGCUAGUUGGAGGGGUAAAGGCCUACCAGGGCGGCGAUCCCUAGACGGUCUGAGAGGAUGAUCAGCCACAGUGGGGCUGAGACACGGCCCAUACUCCUACGGGGGGCAGCAGGGGGGAAUAGUGCGCAAUGGGCGAAAGUCUGAUGCAGCCAUGCCGCGUGAAUGAAGAAGGCCUUCGGGUAGUAAAGUACGUGCGGUCGGGAGGCGUUAGCGACAGAAUAAGCACCGGCUAACUCCGUGCCAGCAGCCGCGGUAAUAC